GGCUCAGCAGCUUAAGAACCCAACAUAGUGUCUGUGAGGAUGUGCGUUCAAUCCCUGGCCUUGCUCAGGGGGUUAAGUUUCUGGUAUUGCAGCAAGUUGCAGCAUAGGUCAUAGAUCUGGUGUUGCCAUGACUGUGGUGCAGGCCAGAAACUGCAGCUCUGAUUUGAUCCCUGGCCUGGGGACUUCCAUAUGCUUCAGGUAUGGCCCUAAAAAGAAAAAGAAGUAAAUCCUGCUGUAUGUAACUUCACAGGUGAACCUGGAGGACAUUAUGCUAAGUGAAAUAAACCGAUCAUAAGGACAAAUACUGCAUGAUUCCACUUAUAUGAGGUGUGUAAAAUAGUCAAACUCAUAGAAGCAGAGAGUGGGAAAUGCGUUAGGGAAUAGAGGAGAGUGAAAGUGGAAAGGAAAGUUGUAUGCAAAUGGAAUUGCUUUGAGUACCUCAAUGAAUCUCUGGUAUCAUCUUCCAAGUUCUUUAGCUUGGUUUGCUUUUACUGAAUCACUCACUUUUCUGCUUCUUUCUUCUGCAGAUACUGGGAAGUGAAGUUAAAAAGACUCCUGAACUCCAAAGAAUAUUGGUGACUGUUACAAAAAUGAGAAAUUCUGGAUCUCUGAGAAAACAAAGGAUUCCAUUACAUCAAGUCCAUCAGAGCCUCAGAAAAUCCAGCAAAACCAGUCUCAGGUGAACCCAGCGAAGGUAAAUUCAUAGUUCUUGACUCUUUCCUAAAUUGCUUUCUGGAUUCUCUUUGUCUAGAAUCUUUCUUAAGUGGGAACUCAAGAGGUCAGAGAAGGAUAAGGAAUCCUGAGGAUACUUGGGAUUAUAUUGUCAUACAUGGUGAAAUGGAUUCUUUUUAAAAGUUCAGUAAAUGAAUUGGGCAGAAUGAAGGGUAAUGAAUUAGCAUACCAAUAUGCAUAUAUAGCAAAAUCACUCAGAGCAAACAAUUUUAACUAAGGGUAUUGCAGUAAAUAAGCAUUGGUAUAGGAAUUGCAAAGUCUUAGAUUCAAAUGCUGACUUCAUCCUUACCAGCUGUGUGACAUGUACAUGUCCAAUUUACCUACCCUCUCUGAGCUUUAGUGUACUUAUACAUAACAAAGAAACAGUAUCUGCUGUGCUACUGCUGGGUGAGUUUUAAAUGUGAUACAGUUGUGAGAAUUAAAUUACAAAGGUGAAAUAACAUUUUAUAUUAUUAGUGAUAUACAUAUGUUAUUACUAUCAGUUAAGCUACUUUAAUAUGUAUGUAUAUAAACAUAUUUCCUACUUCACUGUUUCAAACAAGGGGGUGAUACUGGGAAACAAUGAUUAUAAAACUAAUUAAAUCAAUGUAUCAUAAUCUUCAACUAAUCUGCUUGGGUGGCAAGCUUAUAGAAAAUGAAGAAUGCAUCUUUUGUC
rnacentral:lncRNA from 1 species